rnacentral:rRNA from 1 species
CUAGUAAUCCCACCCCAGUGCUACUAAGUCUUAUAUCGAGUAUGCCGCGCCCGGGUAAAGCCCUUUCUAUUGGCCCAAGAUGUUAAGUCACGCCCUAGACAUUAGGGUAGACGCUGAGAGAAAAUUCCUGACAGAGCUCUGCACAGCGCAUUUUUUACAUUGCUAAGAGAUAUGUCUUUCUCAAGCGGCGGGCCCGAUAACUGCAAUCAUAGCGAGRAAKRARAWWMMAUGAUUUCCYWRKWAMSGCGAGUGAAGAGGAAAGAGCUCAAAGUUGGAAACCUGUUUGGCUUAGCUWAACCGGAUUGUAAACUGUAGAAGUGUUUUCCUGACACGCCAGAUAAAUAAGUCCUUUGGAACAGGGCAUCAUAGAGGGUGAGAAUCCCGUCUUUGGUCUGAGCAGUUGUCUUUUGUGAUACAUUUUCAAAGAGUCAGGUUGUUUGGGAAUGCAGCCUAAAUUGGGUGGUAAAUCUCACCUAAAGCUAAAUAUUUGCGAGAGACCGAUAGCGAACAAGUACCGUGAGGGAAAGAUGAAAAGAACUUUGAAAAGAGAGUUAAACAGUAUGUGAAAUUGUUAAAAGGGAACCGUUUGGAGCCAGACUGGCUUGACUGUAAUCAAUCUAGGUUUCGACCUGGAUGCACUUGCGGUCUAUGCCUGCCAACGACAAUUUUAUUUGGGGGAAAAAACUAUUAGGAAUGUGGCCUUUCGGGGUGUUAUAGCCUUUUAGAAAAUACCCUGGAUUGGAUUGAGGAACGCAGCGAAUGCCUUUAGGCAAGAUUGCUGGGCGCUUUUGCUGAUAGAUGCUAGAAUUUCUGCUUCGGGUGGUGCUAGUGUUUAAAGGUGAAACUCGUUUAGUAUAUUUUUUAUUCGCUUAGGUUGUUGGCUUAAUGACUCUAAAUGACCCGUCUUGAAACACGGACCAAGGAGUCCACCAUAAGUGCAAGUAUUUGGGUGCCAAACCCAUAUGCGCAAGGAAACUGAUUGAUACGAAGUCGCAAGAUGGCAGUAUCACCCGGCGUUGACGUUUUAUACUGAACUGACCGAGGUAAAGCACUUAUGAUGGGACCCGAAAGAUGGUGAACUAUGCCUGAAUAGGGUGAGAGCCGGAGGAAACUCCSGUGGAGGCUCGUAGCGAYUCUGACGUGCAAAUCGAUCGUCARAUUUGGGUAWAGGGGCGAAARRCUAAUCGAAMCRUYUMGWAGCYGYUGCUGCGAGUCCUCCCCUUUCAGGAACUAGUUGAAUCUUGCCUCUAGAUUGUUCGAUACGUCGUGACCCUUAUCUCGAAUUCGACAACUGAUCUGCAAGGUUCGAACUGCUUGCUAGGACUCACUGAGUACGCUCGCAGUCAGCUUAGUCAAGGACUACAGAUUU